rnacentral:rRNA from 1 species
GAUGAACGCUGGCGGCGUGCUUAACACAUGCAAGUCGAACGAUGAAGCUCAGCUUGCUGGGUGGAUUAGUGGCGAACGGGUGAGUAACACGUGAGUAACCUGCCCUUAACUCUGGGAUAAGCCUGGGAAACUAGGUCUAAUACCGGAUAGGAGCGUCCACCGCAUGGUGGGUGUUGGAAAGAUUUAUCGGUUUUGGAUGGACUCGCGGCCUAUCAGCUUGUUGGUGAGGUAAUGGCUCACCAAGGCGACGACGGGUAGCCGGCCUGAGAGGGUGACCGGCCACACUGGGACUGAGACACGGCCCAGACUCCUACGGGAGGCAGCAGUGGGGAAUAUUGCACAAUGGGCGAAAGCCUGAUGCAGCGACGCCGCGUGAGGGAUGAUGGCCUUCGGGUUGUAAACCUCUUUCAGUAGGGAAGAAGCGAAAGUGACGGUACCUGCAGAAGAAGCACCGGCUAACUACGUG